rnacentral:rRNA from 1 species
AGCGAACGCUGGCGGCAGGCCUAACACAUGCAAGUCGAACGAAGUCUUCGGACUUAGUGGCGGACGGGUGAGUAACACGUGGGAACGUGCCUUUAGGUUCGGAAUAACUCAGGGAAACUUGUGCUAAUACCGAAUGUGCCCUUCGGGGGAAAGAUUUAUCGCCUUUAGAGCGGCCCGCGUCUGAUUAGCUAGUUGGUGAGGUAAAGGCUCACCAAGGCUACGAUCAGUAGCUGGUCUGAGAGGAUGACCAGCCACAUUGGGACUGAGACACGGCCCAAACUCCUACGGGAGGCAGCAGUGGGGAGUCUUGCGCAAUGGGCGAAAGCCUGACGCAGCCAUGCCGCGUGGAUGAUGAAGGUCUUAGGAUUGUAAAAUUCUUUCACCGGGGACGAUAAUGACGGUACCCGGAGAAGAAGCCCCGGCUAACUUCGUGCCAGCCGCCGCGGUAAAAC